rnacentral:lncRNA from 1 species
CUUUCGCUUCAUGAGGGCGAUUUUAACUUGAUUACAUCAGGGUUAGGGCAUCAAGGAAAUGAUCAGAGCUCGUGUCCAAAGUUUGCCAAACUCCUUUUAGCUUUAGUAAAAAAAUAUGGCAACCAGUUGAAUGCCAAUCAUGUGACAACCCUGAAAAAAUCUCUGGACUUAAAUAAAACGUUCCUUAAAAAAGCAGUACUUUCAGCUAUUGAUCGGCUUCAACUAUGACAAACAUACUGAAGAUUUGAAUACACUGUUUGGCUAUUUUAUUACAUAAUAAAAAUAUAGAGACUGUUGAUUUAUAAGUGGUUGGUAUCACAACAUUUCUCAGCAAACCACAAAGAAAAGAAAGUACAGGUUUUACAAAUACAACAAGAACACUAAGUGAGGAAUAGAGAAAGUAGAACAGGUUAGGCUAACAAGUAAGUCUUAAGAAAUUCCUUUCACUGCACAUUCUUCUAGAUCAAUAUGCACUCAUAAAUUAUGCAAUAUUUAAUCCCAAAAGAUGUGAUGCUUACAGUGUAUUGUUGGUUGUUGUUCUCAAACAACAUACCGGUAGACUUGAGCGAGUCGAGUGGUACAGCAAGGACAGUGCGAUGAUGACUAAUAAUUCUUUGCCUCUGCAAUGACUGAGAAUAUAGCGAUGACCCGUAUAACAAGGCCAUUGAAUUGACGGUAUAUCCCGAUGGACAGGUAGAAAUGACGUCACCUCAUUGGGUACAUGCUUUGUAGAAGAGGUUGGCUCAACGGUUGUGGCUCAGAAUUGCAACCUUGAGGUCGGGGGCUUGAAACACUUGCUCUGCGAUUCGCUAGUGUCCUUUAGGCAAGACACCAUAUCUACGUUUGUUUCUUUCUACCCAGGAGGAGUAUAAAUGGGUGCCAGCAUAUAUGCUGGGAAGGUAAAACAGACUGUAGUGCAGUGCAGUGGAGAAAACCCCACAGCCUUGCACAAUCUGGCUCAAACCCCAAGGAAAGAGAGACUGGGACUGCAGCCUGUGAGCCCAGAGGUUCAGGUUUCGACCUUUACCAGCGAAUAAAGAAGAAGACCCACUCUAUCGAUGAACCUGUCAUUGUGGCUGAAGACGACUUAAAUCCAGAUACUUCCGAUAGUGUUGAGUGAUCAGACACUAGUUCUGUUGAAAACUAGGUGUACUGGUUAUAUCGUAAUGUUGAAUUGGAAUCGUUAAAUAAAAUUUUAAAAAUACAAAAAAAAGAAUGAAAAAAAAAGAUCGGCGUUCUAUAGUUGUUUUAUAUUUAUAAACAAAAUCUGUGAUUUACACAUAUAUGGGCCAUAUAUGGGCAUGAUAAUGUUAUAUCACACCCAUAUAGGUAAAUUCAACAUGUUUGUCACAUAAUUACUGAUAAUGCUGUCAAAGCUUAGUUAAUAAAAAAGAAUAACUAUUAUAUUUUACCUGCCUGAUGUGUUAUACUAAAUGCUCCGUACGUUCCCGAAUACUUGCGAAAAAAUCUCACAAGCGAUUCAGGUGGGAAUUGAACCAAUGACCUCCAGAAAACUGGCUUGGCGCCAUAACUACUAGACCACUGACCUUGUGCUUAAUGGCUAGUGUUGCAUCUCCAAGUAGUAGUGGGUACUACAAUGAUAUUUGAUGGUGUUUUGCAUCAGGAGAAUUAUAAUCUGGUUCUUGCAUGCAUCAACCGUAGCAUGAAUGGGCUUUCCUACUAAGCACCGCCCUUAAAUGAUGUUAAAGUCUUACAAAACGAGUGUGUAAAAACAUACGCAGGCACGUAAGUUUGUUGGUCAACGUGUGUGUUAACACUAACAUUUUAGAUCAUAGAAAAACAGUGAGUACAUCUUAUUUGGAUUAAACGAAAUUUUAUAAACAAUA